rnacentral:misc_RNA from 1 species
AUGGUAUGUGCUCGUCCAGCACAUGGCUAUCAUUGUGACGUGACAACAUGCAAAGGAUGCAAGUCCUUUUUCCGUCGAAUGUAUCUAUUGAGGUCUGAAAUAAAAUGCAGUGGUAGAAAUGAUUGUUUUGAUUUGAAAAAGCGAAUUGAACCACUGCUCCGGUGUCGGUCGUGUAGAUACAGGAAAUGUCUGCUAGUUGGUAUGAACCCCGAAGCUCUAGUGUUCAAUAUGCUAACCAAGGAAGAUUCCAUAAUAAAAGUAAUCAAUUCAUUGGAUUACUUGGAUCAGAAGGUUGAAAAAUUCCGAUUAUGCGCCUAUAAUCCAGAUUGGGCAACAAUGGGAGGGCUGGCGGAUUUGAUUAAAAAUAAUGGGAAACUGAAUCAAGUUGAUAAAUAUGGACCUUUUCCCGGAUGGCCCCUCGAUCCGGAUCACGAGUUUGCGCACCAGAAUUUUUAUCGAGAUCUUAAAGCGUUCUCAACUGACAGAAAAGAAUGGAGAUUGUUCAACUUGCUUGCAUCAAUAGAAUAUUCAAAAACAUUCCUAUUUUUCCAAAAUCUUGACUUGCCUGACCAGUUGAGAGUACUAAAACACACAGCAGCAGGCUGUAGUAGUCUAAGUUGCUCGUUUUUCACUUUAAGGCAAAAAUAUGAAGAUAUACGACAACCGGAUGGAACACAGCGGCCUUCUAAAUUGUGAGUCAACUAGAAUGAUAUAUUGAACUUCCCGCCAAUCCCGGACACUCCGCGCGCCCAUCCCACUCUGAGUAUUGCGGCCGACGCUAGACGGGUUGCGAUUCCACUGAGUGUUAUAUAGCACCUGGCUAUGCACUGUUCUCAGCACUGAUAGGACCGAUGAGACGGGUCGGUACUCAAUACUUUGAGUAUUUGCUGCUAAAAGCAUUAUAUUUGUGCAAUCCAGCGAUUCCUGGCUUAACAGUUCAAGCUCAACAUGUGCUGGAAAGAGAGCGUCGGUUAUAUUCCAACAUUCUAAUGGAGUUUUGUCUUCGGAAUUAUUCAAAUGGAGCAACGAAAUUUGUAGAUGUUAUUCAACUGAUUGGAGUGCUGGAAUGGCAACAGAAGAACUUGAAGGAUCUUCACGUGUUAUUGUUAACACCAGUGCUAUCACAGUUACCAGGAGAUUUUUGUGUUAGCUUUGUACAUGAGCUGGUGUUUGAUUAAUU